UGGGGAAUUUUGGACAAUGGGCGAAAGCCUGAUCCAGCCAUUCCGCGUGCAGGAUGAAGGCCCUCGGGUUGUAAACUGCUUUUGUACGGAACGAAAAGCCUUCUUCUAAUACAAGAGGGUCAUGACGGUACCGUAAGAAUAAGCACCGGCUAACUACGUGCCAGCAGCCGCGGUAAUACGUAGGGUGCAAGCGUUAAUCGGAAUUACUGGGCGUAAAGCGUGCGCAGGCGGUUAUGUAAGACAGUUGUGAAAUCCCCGGGCUCAACCUGGGAACUGCAUCUGUGACUGCAUAGCUAGAGUACGGUAGAGGGGGAUGGAAUUCCGCGUGUAGCAGUGAAAUGCGUAGAUAUGCGGAGGAACACCGAUGGCGAAGGCAAUCCCCUGGACCUGUACUGACGCUCAUGCACGAAAGCGUGGGGAGCAAACAGG
rnacentral:rRNA from 1 species